GGGAGGGAAGGAAGAAGAAGAGAAGGAAGAGGAGAGAAAUGGGGAGAAGGGGAGAGAGAGAUGAGAGAGACAGAGAAGCUAGUGACCCCGAAUACCCUGAGAAGUGCAGCUUCUCUCAGCUCCUGAUUCCUGGCAGGCACCGUGCCAGCUCACUAUGGCCAGCCCUCAGAGAGAAGCUGGACAUUCACGAAUUCAUGAGAAAUCUCCCAAAUGUUAAAUAUUAGUUCACAUUUCUGUCUACAUGAAGUGAAGGCUGAACGUAGCUUGCCUGCGAGCCAUCAGUUUAAAAUACCUCGAGAGCUGUCUGAAGCUCAACUGAAGCCAGUCUUCCUGGUUUCCACCCUAAGCACACUGGACAUGGUAGUGCACACCUGUCGCCUAGCACUUAGAAAGCUGGGGCAGGAGGAUUGCUAGGACUUCGACGUUAGCCAGGGCUACAUGGCAAGACCCUGUCUCAAACAAAAGUAGUCAUUAAAUAUAUCAGCUUCAUCAUUCAUCAAAUGGAGAUGAUAAUUUUACCUAGCUCUCAGGGUUGCUACGGGAAUUUACAAGGAAGUGUUGCAAUCAAGGAUUCGGAAUUCGGCAACUGUAUGAAAAACCUUCACCUGUCACACUAUGCCUCAUUCCACAGUUGCUGGCUGACCCUCCUUUUACUGGGAUGAUCCUGGUUUCAAUUUGUGGCACUGGUAUAAUUAGUAGUAAUUCUCAAUUUCAUUCUCAUUACUGAACACACAUUUUAUGGGGACCACGCAUGAUGGGUGCUUGCUGCACAAUUGUAAGGACCCAAGUUCAAAUCCCCAGUGCUCACAUUUGAAAAAAACUAAUCCAGGUGUGACUGUAUCCAGUACCUGUAACCCUAUCGCCCCUGGGACUGGGCAGUGUGUGUGAGGAUAGCUGGUCACCAGCCUGGCUCCAGGUUCAGUGGGACACCUCUCAGCCUUCCACACCAAGUGUACCCACACAUGCAUGACAUACAACAGAUACACAUAUAUCACACACACUCACACAUAUAUCACACAACACCAGUUAAAUGGCUAUACCCUCGUGUUUUUACACAGUUAGACCAGUUGGAGCUCUAACUGUGUAACUGUACACGGUAGCUGUGAGAGCAGUAACAACUCCCAGACCCAUUAAAAAAAGGCCAAGAUUCAGGCUGGGUAAUAUUGGUAAAGAUGAGCACCUUUGAUGGCAGCACUUGGGAGGCAGAGGCAGGCAGAUCUCUGAGUUUAAAGCCAGCCAGGUCUAUGUAGUGAGUUCUGGAACAGCCAGUACUACACAGAGAAACCCUGCCUUAGAAACCAAACAGACCAAGAUUCAGAGCUGGAGAGAUGGCUUAGCAGCUCAGAGCAGCUUCUCUCAGAGGACUAGAGUUUGACUCUCAGCACCCUCGCAUGCAUGCACUUAGAAACUUUUUCAAAAAACAAAAAUUUUGGGGGCCAGAGAGAUGACUCAGUGGUUAAGAGCACUGACUGCUCUUCCAGAGGUCCUGAGUUCAGUUCCCAGCAACCACAUGGUGGCUCACAACCAUGUGUGAUGGGAUCCAGUGCCCUCUUUUGGUGUGCCUGAAGACAGGGAUGGUGUAUAUGUAUAUAUACCUAAGAUAAAAUAAAUAAAUCUUUUUUAAAAAACAAACAAAAGCAAACAAAAAAUUUAAAGGGUAAGAGUCCAGUGUUUGGAUUGGACCUGGACAAUCAUUUAACCUUGCCGUGUGCUACUGCAUUUGCUAAAGGGUGAUGAUGCUGAAAUGAACCCUAAGCUCCCAAUUCACAUCCAACUGUCAUUCAACAGACGCUUCUGUGCAAGGACUCUGAGAGGCCAGGGAGCUCAAGCCCUCAUGGGCAAGCCAGCCAGUGGAGGUCUGUGCAGGCAGCUGAGAAGUUCUGCCGUUGAGUUCAAGUGGUGACACUUGAAAUACCUCUUAUCCAGAAACUGAAUGGAAUGUUAAUACCUCGAACCCUAAAUCUCUCAGUGACACGUCAUCAUGUUUCAGUACAACUAGAUAUUUCUUCGGUCUCUCCUUUUUAAAAAUUUCUAAAAUUCUCCUUUUUUUUUUUUUUUUAAAAAUGCUAUUGGUGUGAGUGUGUGUGUGCCUGUGUGCUUGUAUGUUCACGUUCAUGUGAGUAUCUACAGAGGCCAGCAGAGUGUGUCAGCCCUCCUAGAGUUAGAGUUACUCGGGGCCGUGACCCACCUAACAUAGGUGUGGGGAACGGAACCCAGGUCCUCUGCAAAAGAGCAGGACUUGCUGCGGUUUUUCGUUUUUGUUUUUUGGUCUUUUGAGACAGAAUUUCUCUGUGUAGCCCUGGCUGUCCUGGAACUUGUUCUGUAGACCAGGCUGGACUCAAACUCACAGAUGUCUGCCUGCUUCUACCUCCCAAGUGCUAGGAUUAAAUGCCUGUAUCACCACUGCCUGGCAGCAAAUUGCUCUUCACCACUGAGCCAUCUCUCCAGACAGCUAAGAUGUUUAUUUAGAAUUCCAUGGACACCUGGAAACCACAGGAUGGCCCACAAGAGACCUUUAUUUCAGUUGGUGCCAUGGUAAGCAGGAGAAGGCUUCUCAUCUUUCUAAUUUUUUUUUCAUAGAACAAGCCUUGAUUUUUAUUACUGAAAAAAGUUUCAUAUUAAUUUUAUUUUCUGACUCUAUGCGUGUGCUUCAACACUUCUACAAUGAUUUUUUUCCACUCCUCAAUAACGGGUCCUAUUACCAGGGCUUUGAGUCAGCCUAGUUUUUUAAGAGUCUGUAUUAUAGGAAAGCUUACCACGGUAUAUCAAGUGAGUGCCUUUAAACACCGUCCCUGUAAGACCAAAAAUAAUAUUUCUAGUGUUUCAGUCCUUGCUGCCUCCCCCGCCCCAAAGUCAAAAUUAAUUUUGAAAGAAUGCUGCUUUCCUCAAAUUUGUGUGGAUGUCUCCAAAUACGUCCACUCAGCCAUUCAUCCCCCAGCAGUUACGUGGGUGUCUAACCUGGCGUGGAGUCUGGGACCCAGAUAGACUCCUAUAAGCGAUGUUCUGAAAUAAUAUGCUCAUAGUUCCCUCCCACACAUUGAUGGCUCCCAGGAGCCUUGGGGACCUGCCUUAAUAAAGUACUGGCUGUUGUUGGGGGCAGAUCCUAGCAAGGUUGCCGAGGGCACUGCUUUGGUGUGGAUGGGUUCCACCCACGAGUGUCCGGGUCUGGAUUCCAAGUUUGGCCUGGGGCAAUGGGGUUGGACUGUGCUGGCCUAGAAAACCAUUUCCUGCCGUCACAGUAUCCGUGGUUGUGCAAGUGCCCUCGUCGGGAAGGAAGUGGCUGUUGGUCUGUUUAUUUUGGCUGCCAGCUCGCAGACAGCCUCUGGGGAGAGGACGGAGUGAGCUGGGCACAGAUCUCAGGGCACCCCGGACAGGGACCUGAGCCAGGCCUUCUCGGGUGCGGUGAGCUCUUGAGAUGCUUGGGGAUGGAGGUCCUAGAGGAAGCAGCUGACCUGGAGGGUAGCAAAGGCAGUUUCUAGGGUCCCUCUGCUGGUGUGGACUCUAGGUGGCUCUGGUCUUCGUCAUGGAAGAUGGAGUCUAGGAAGGGACAGGCUGAAAAGCAUCGUGAUGCUUGGCUGUGAGAAGACAAAAGCCGUCAGUGUCUGGCCUUUGCUCCUGCGGUUCCCCAGCUGGAAACACCCUCCUGUCCUCGCCUCUGCUCCAGCCUUCGGUUUCGUCGCACAUGCCUUUUGCUCCACAGUGAUUUCCUGAGUCUGCUGCAUACCAGGCAUGGUGCUGGAAUUAGCUUCUCAACCGCUUCCUUCAGCAACGGUGUCUUCAGCUUGUCGUGGAGAGCAACGGAUUAGGCAAGGGCUCCGACCUCUGGUCCCGCUUACUCUGGAGGAAUCUGGUAAGCUGCGGGGAGGCCGUAAGGAAGUUUCUGUGGAGAAACAAAACCUGCCUUUCCACCAGCAGAGGGAAGGUGACUUCGAGAGGACAGGCAUCUCUUCAAUGAGGAGCACAUUGCUUUAAAACCCACUCUGUGCGUGGGAAUAAAUCUCCAUGGUGAUGGCCCGGACAUCUGAGGUGCGAAAGUUUGGACCACCGCUUUGCCAGUGCCAGAGAGAUUCCUGCAAUGCUAUGGUGACCUGGAAAGCCCCUUUCUGUCCAACACCCUCCUUCCAGCCAUGCAGCCUAAAUUCGGGCUGACUGGUUUGCACGUGUGGAUGUGCGGCUUGUGACUCCUGCCUGGAUUGCUUUAGGAAGUUCAACUCUUCGACUUCUCUGUAAACAGCCUGAGGGCAGAGGCCCUGUCAUCUCAUUCAUUUUCAUCUCCCUGCAGUACCUAGGAAAGUGCUUCCUACAGGGUUGUCAUCGGCAUGGGGAGAGAGGCAGGUGGGGGUGGGGCAGCUAGAAGGGUGGUCUGGAGAAUGCAAGCAGGUCCAGCCUCCUCCAAAAGGAUCCUCAUGCCACCACCGCAGACCCAAGGAGCAGGUCCAGCAAAGGCAGAGGGAUCUUGGCGCGCACCGGCUUCCUGGAGAGUAAGGGAAACGCUGCGGUGGGCUCUGGUCCCAAGGAUUCCUGUGACUACCAGGAAAACAGAAUCGUAAAAGGGAUGGACGAGCUCAGCACAAACUGGGGGGUGCGACUCAUGGCACAGCAUUUGCUCAGUGUAAAGCCCCGGGUUUAAGCCCCCAACACAGCAAAAAGGAAAAAAAGAGGGACAUGAUCCUGGGUGAUUCAUGGCAUGGAGGGCAGAGUCUGGGAGAGCCACGGGAGCCCAGAGGUGGAGACUGGAUGCCCAGAGUCACUGGGAGGUGCCUCUCCUUCCAGUAUUCAGCUAUUUCUCCUUCAGGAUAGGAAACUUGGCUGUUGGCAGCCUCCAUCUAGAAAUCUCUGCAGAAAGAAAAUUCUUUAUUCUAAGAGCAGGCUCUGAUGGAUCGGCCUGGUUUGAGCUGUGUGUCAGUCACAUGAGAGUGGCCAAGGGGUCAAAAGUGAGCCUUGUGUCCACCCACAUAGCCAUAGCUUAUUAUUUAUAUAGAAAGAGGGGGGCGGAGGAAAGGGAGGGAGAAGAAACGGGAAGUUUGCCGGGCAAACGCAGGCAGCUCACCAAGGCCGAGGACUGCCACCAUCCCUACGGCCGCAGUUCAGCACACUGUGUGGAGAACCAGGAUUUGCCACUGGGCCCUCAAGGCCUGGUUCCAGGCCUGGCAUCUGUGAAAUUCCUUCCUCCUCCCUGUCCCUGUUUUUGUUUUUAAACCAGGUCUCUCGUGUGGCUUAGGCUGUCCUCCAACUUGCUACGUAGUUGAAGAAGACCUCCUCCUGCCUUCAGCUCCCGAGGGCUGGGGAAAAUAAGUAUAUGCGUCUGUGUGGAUGAUAUGCCUGUGUGUUUCAAAUAUAUGAACACUGGGUGCUGGGUGCACACACAGUUGAACACAGGGUCAUGUGUUUGCUGAGCCAUUUACAGUACAGUUGCAGCCCUGAUCCUGAAAUUCCUCGCUAACAUCUGUUAAACAGAUUCAUUACCUAACACCCAGCCCAUGCCCAGGCCGCAGGUCACCGUGGAGCUUCCGUUACUUCGUCCAUAAAUACAUAAGGAGCUGCAACUGGACAGUUAGCACUCUCCCAGGCGUGAGAUGGUUACCAGCAAAAACACAAGCGGUCACUUUGUCCUGGGCAGGGAAAUCUGAGAUCCUAGUAAGAGCAGGAGACUGAAGCCUGGGGAGUGGGACGGGCAUUUGCACACUCUGCACCAGCAUCCUGAGCUCCCACGAGUGUGGGUGUGCUUGUGUGUGAUUGAAGCUGGAGGGGCCCUCUGGGAACAUUGGGCCUCUGCACCUGGAGUCCCCUCCUGCCUGCUCCGUAGAAGCUCGAUGAGGACACAGAUCCAAGAACUAGGAGCUGUUCUCAGCAAGUCUACAUGCCCUUCCCUCCCUGAACGGCAGUUUCUGCUCUACCAAGGCUCUGUCCGUGCUCCCUCUCCGAGAGCCCUUGACUUGACCGAAUCUCAGAGAGCCAGAGAGCCACCUCUGGGAGCUCUCUCCACCUUUCUCUUUGCUUUCUAGCUCUCCUCGGGCCUUUGUUCCUCAUCCAGGACCUGUUUUCAGCCACUAACACAGUAGCUCGUGACCUGCAUUCCUGCGGUCUGCCUCCAGAUUUGCUGUGAGCUGGCUUUCUGACCCCCGAGAAGGCAACAGGUCUCUCUCAUACACACAGCCAGACACUUGGAGUUUCGGGGCUCAGUUGUUCAAGGUUAUUGUCUUUCUCUGACUGGAUUACAAAUCCCAAGAGAGCAAAGGCAGUGGUGGCUGCUGGGAAUUUCCCUGGGGUCCAUCUUGCCUGAAUGUUCUGUGUACUGUGGCAAGUGCCCCAAGGGGUUAGGUGGAUGUGAACCCAGGACUAGGGUGGUUACAGGAGGCCUACAACCCUGUCUCAUGGGAUAGGAGGGAACCCAGGUCUUGAAAGGCACUGUGGUUGGGCAUCCCAGCCCCUUCUCUGGGUUUCAGUUGUCUCUUCUAUCAAGGACUUGGACAGCUGCCUUUGCCAAUCAAUAUGGACUUCUUUUGGUCCUUCCAUUGGGCAUUUAUUGUCACAACUUAAGUCUGACUGGGAUUGGUCUGGUCAUCUGAUUGGAGAUGAGAGAAAGAUACUCUCCCACUGGGAGCCCACACCAGCCAGAAGUUUUGAGACUUAUUACCCAGUCCUAUCUCUGAAAGAAAGAGAAAACAGGAAUAAGAGCAAGCAAUGCUUUCCAGUCCCAGCUACAGUUACUUUUAUUUGUUGCUGCUGUGUUCCCUGGAGUGGGAUUUUAGAGAAGAAAAGAGCUAACCUGGGGGUUAUGGUGAUGGCUCAGUGGGUAAGGGCAUUUUCUGUGUAAGCAUGAGGCCCUGAGUUCAAAUCUCCUAUGUCCAUGUAUUAAAAAAAAAAAAAGUCAGGUGUGCAUGUGUAUAACCCUAGCACUAUGUGGGGCAGGAGGAUUCCUGGGGCUUGUUGGUUCCCAGCCUAGCCGGUUCAGUGACUUUGUCUCAAGAGCAGAGACCAAUAAAGUAGCAUAUUGGCCUCCAAACGUGCAUAUGGACUCCAUGAACCCACAUACAUAUCAUGGGCAUGCAUCAUAGCACAUGCACACAUAGGUCACUCACACAAAGGGAAGAUUGGGUAGAUCUGGAACAAAUCCUGGGCCCGGUUACAUUUCACCGCUCCAGAAACAGAGGGUGAUUCGAAGGUGUGUUCCUCACAAAAUAUCACAAUUAGGGUGCUUAUAAACAAGAGGAAUUUACUUGGUCCUGGACUUGGAGGCUAAGAAGCCAAAGAUCAAGGAGUCAAGGGUUUCAGAGUUUGAUGAAGUUAAUUCCUCCCACACCAUUACCUCAUAGAUUGGAAGGACGGGGAGACUCACGUAGCUCAGGUUGGCUCUGAACACCACUGUGUGGCCAAAGAUGACCUUGAACUGACGCCCCUCCUCCCACGUCCUGGUUGCCGGUGAUGGAAUCACAGGUGUGCACCCACCAGACCUGGUUUGGUUUACGUGGUGCUGAGGAUUGAACCCAGGACCUUGUGGGGAUAGGCAAGUUCUCUACCAACAGAACCACACACCCAGCCCUGACCCUUGGGAGUCUUUUAUAAUUAAUGUUAUAAUUCUAUCUAAUAGCUUCAGCACUUUCCAGAGGUCUACACCUUAACACCAUCACCUCCAGGGUUAAGGUUUCAAAAUAGGGUUUGGAGAGGGAUGUACGUACUCAGACUGUAGGAGAAAGGAAGGCUUGGAUUAAGGGCGGAGAACCCAGUAUAGGAAGUUUAGCUGUGGCAGCCAUCUGGCUGGUACUUUGGGAUGCUCUCAUGCAUCUUGACAGAGAGGACCCUCUCCCCCCUCACACAAAGAGAUGCACCUUCUGUGCUGUCAGGAUAGAGGAACAGGGCACUACCACACCUCCCACCAUGGUAUUUUGACAGGAUAUUUUGUGGUGCUAUGCAUUAGAAAAACCAAUCUAGCAGUUUGGAUGGGGAACAGAACGGCAGGCCGAUUGGUUGUACUAGAUAUGAGAUUUAUUCAUGUGUGCACAUACAUGUUACCCAGCAUCUCCUGAGCACUGCUAUGUGUCAGGGCCAUACGAGCCAGGCGCACAGUGAUUCGAGAAGCCACAGAAAACAAAGACAAGAAAUCGACAGAGCACAUGGGAUAAUAAAUCCUGGUUCUAGAAAUGGCAGGCUAGCUCGUUUAAGUCUAACUGUGACCAAUGCUUAGUGACCGAGAAUAAAAUACAAUAUAUGAUGGUCUGAAGGCAUUGGAGAACAACUAAAACCAGACAGAUGUAGAGAGGGGAAAUAUGCGAAAGGCAAAAGAAGGGUGGGUAAGAUAGGAUGGCUUAGUUGACAAAGAUGCCUGCCACUAAGCCUGGUGAUCUGGGUUCAAUUCCCAGGAUUCAACAGUGGAAGGAGAGAACUGAGUCACUGCAUGUCGUGCAUACACACACACACACACACACACACACACACACACACACCAAUACAGUAUGAGUGUGAAUUUUAAAGUGUAAUUAAAAAUUGAAUAAAAAAAUUUCUUUAGGGUUGGGGAUUUAGCUCAGUGGUAGAGCGCUUGCCUAGGAAGCGCAAGGCCCUGGGUUCGGUCCCCAGCUCCGAAAAAAAAAAGAAAAAAAAAAGGAGAGAAAAUUAGGUGAGUGUCGUGUAGAGCAACCCUGAGCAAACUGCCCAGUUUGAGGGACUGAUCGGGGCUGCAGAAAUGGGAGAUUUAAGUUUUGUGUUCCUAAAAAGGCUAAAAGUCAACAAGGAAAAUUCUAGAAAGGAAGCCAUCAUAGAAUUUCUUUCGACAGACCUCCUCAAAGCCUCAGUAGUCGAUAAGUUAUGCAUAUGCAGGGAAAGGCUCCAGGUCCCCAAGUCUAGCCAGAAGCAACAGCUGGAAGGAGAAGUUUAGGUUAUUUCCUGAACAGAGUUCAAAACUAAUACAAGUUCCACAAGUUAGAGGGGCCUGGUCAUCAUCUGCAGUUUUCUCCUAAAAUCCCAGUAUGGCUUCACCUCAAGAUUGAGUCCAAGGAUAAGGGGUACACCCUAAGACUCAAGGCAUGACAAAGCCUGAAACCCAGAUACCCCAGGAUCCAGCACUGUGAAUGUAGCUGCCUACCAAAACAGAACUCGACAUUCUUUACAGGGAGAUCCAAAAACAUCAUAUUCCCUGUGGCACACCAUCGACAAGGCCCAAAGUCCAAUAGAGCACUCAUGAUAUCUGACAUGUAAUAAAACUUAGUAGACACAGGAGCUGGAGAGAUGGCUCAGCUGUGAGAGUAUCUGCCGCUCUUGCAGCGGACCCAGGUUUGGUUCCCAGCACCCACGUGGCCGCUCACAACCAUGUGUAACUUUAGCUCUAGGGGAGCCUUCGCCCUCUUCUGGCCUCCUCAGGUACUGCAUGCAUGUGAUGUUCAUACACUCGGGUGCACGUGCACACACAUUAAAUAAAUAAAUCUAAAACCAAAUUAGUGGAUAUUAUCCACAGUGUCUGGUAGGUAAUAAAAAUUGCCAACCAGCAUAGGAAUCAAGCUUACAAACAACUCAGAUGGAGCGGAAAUUAAGAGUCACGAGAAAAAUUAUAGUCAACAGAGGAUUGCUAUGGUUUAUUGGGAAAUCAGAGAGGGUCGCUGAAGAUAUUAAAAAAAAAACAAUUUCUGUCAUCAGAAAUGUGAAUUUUGUCAGGUGAAUGAGAUAGUGCAAAGACAUCGAGACCGGAAACGAAAUGGGGCAAGGAUAUCAGCGCGGUUUGAGUGAAGAGAAGUGUGGUCUGAACUCAGGCAGGCAAUGUGGCUUCUGUGUUAGAAAAGUCAUCACUCAGAUAUUUACGUGCUUUUAAACACAGGGAUCAUUUUAGUUAGGGCUUUUAUUGCUGAGAUGAAACACCAUGAACAAGGAAACAUGGGGAGCAAAGGUUUAUUUGGCGUAGGGGUUCGCAUCAGCGUUCACUGAAGGAAGUCAGGACAGGAACUCACGCAGGGCAGGAAACAGCAGGCAGGAGCUGGCGCAGAGGCCAUGGAGGAGUGCUGCUUACUGGCCUGCUCGUCAUGCUCAGCCUGCCAUGGAAUCUAGGACCACACAGCACUGGGCCCUCCCCCAUCAAUCUCUCACUAAGAUAAUGGCCUACGCACUUGCCUACGGUGAUCUUAUGGAGGCAUUCUCUCAGUUGAGGUUCCCUCCUCUCAGACAACUUUAACUUGCGUCAAGUUGACAUAAAACUAUCCACCGUGGUAGGGCUUAACUGGCCCACAGUAAGGAGCUUGAAUCUUAUUUGAAAAACGGUGGGUGCAUUGUUUCCGAAGGAAUUUAAGGAAGCUGUUGCUUCUUUUUUUUUUUUUUCUCUUUACUGCUGUAAGGUUAUCUUUUCAGUGUGUGUGUGUGUGUGUCUGUGUGUGUGUGUGUGUGUGUGUGUGUGUGUGUGUUUACAUGGCAACUGAACCAUCUACCUCGCUUCUGACUUUUUCUGUAUGUCCAGUGCAGGGAAGUUAACCCAGGACCUUGCAGGCGUGAGGCUCUUCCCCAGCCUUUCACUUCAAUAUUUAAAAGCGAAUUAUAUUUCACACAUUUAGCUUUCUCUGGAUAUAUUUAGUUCUAUGCUGCGUUAUUAAUAUUUUCUUUUUCUUUUCUUUUCUUUUUUUUGGAGCUGGGGACCGAACCCAGGGUCUUGCGCUUCCUAGGCAAGCGCUCUACUACUGAGCUAAAUCCCCAACCCCAUAUUUUCUUAUAAUACAUUUGUCAAUAUUCAUGGGAGCUCUCUUUAUAUUGGGAAAUUAACCCUUUGCCUCUAAUAAGUUACAUGUUUUUUUUUUUUUUUCUUUUCUUUUUUUCGGAGCUGGGGACCGAACCCAGGGUCUUGCGCCUCCUAGGCAAGCGCUCUACCACUGAGCCAAAUCCCCAACCCCAAGUCUUUUUUUUUUCUUUUUCUUUUUUCUUUUUUUCAGAGCUGGGGACCGAACCCAGGGCCUUGCGCUUGCUAGGCAAGUGCUCUACCACUGAGCUAAAUCCCCAACCCCUACAUGUUAUUUUAUAACAUGAUUUCUCUUUUUGUUUUUUUUUGAGAUAGGGUCUUCUGUAGCCCAGGCUGGCCCUAAGCUUACUAUGGGUGGCCAAAACCGACCUCCUGUCCUUUUGCCCUCACAUCACAAGUGCCUGUGUCACAGGCCUGUUUCACCAUGUUGGCUUAUCAUUUGAGUUUGACUUUUGCUUUUGACAUUUAUCUUUUUUUUAUUGGAUAUUUUAUGUAUUUACAUUUCAAAUGUUAUCCCCUUUCCUGGUCCCCCUCUUUCCCAUUACCCUUCCCCUUGCUUCUAUGAGGAUGUUCCCACUCCCACCCACCCACUCCCACCUCACCACCCUGGCAUUCCCCUACACUGGGGCAUUGAGCUUUCACAGGACCAAGCUACAUAUGCAGCUGAAGCCAUCCGUCUCUCCAUGUGUGCUCUUUGGUUGGUGGUUUAGCCCUGGGAGUUCUGAUGGGAUCUGGUUGGUUGAUAUUGUUGUUCUUUUUAUGGGGUUACAAGCCCCUUCAGUUCCUUCAGUCCUUUCUCUAACUCCUCUGUUGGGGUCCCCAUGCUCAGUUCAGUGGUUGGCUAUGAACAUCCUCUGUAUUUGUCAGGCUCUGGCAGAGCCUCUCAGGAGACAGCUCUAUCAGGCUCCUGUCAACAUGCACUUCCUGGUAUCAGCAAUAGUGACUGGGUUUGGUGGCUGCAUAUGGGCUGGAUCCCCAGGUGGGGCUGUCUCUGGAUAGCCUUUCCUUCAGUCUCUGCUCCUCUCUUUGUGCUUGCAUUUCCUUUAGACAGGAGCAAUUCUGGGUUAAAAUUUUGAGAAGGGUGGGUGGCCCCAUCCUCCAACCAGGGGCCUUGCCUAACCUUUGGAUAUGGUCUGUACAGGUUCUCCCUCCCAUUCCUUGGGUGUUUCAGCUAAUCUCAUCCCUGUUGGGUCCUGGGAGCCUCUUGCUUUCCUGGUAUCUGGGACUUGCUGGUGGCUAACCCCAGUUCCCCAUCCCCCAUUGCUACAUAGCUCUAUUCAAAUUCCUGACCCUCUGUACAUCAUCCCCAUCUCCUCUCAUACCUGAUCCUGCCCCCACUUCCCCUCCCCCUCCUCUCUUCCUCACAAGUCCCUCCCAUCCUCUACCUGUGCCAUUUAUCUUGCUAUGAAAAAUUCAUAAUCCAUGGAAGCCAUCCCUUUUCCUUUUGGUCCUCAGUUCUCCAAUAAUAUUUUAAAGAUUUUUUGGAAUAUGUUUAUACCUUUAAGAGGUCAUUCUGGCUGCCCAUGGUGGUUGCAUUCUAAGGGUUGAAAAGACCAGCACAAGAAUAGAAAGAAUGUGGAGUUUGAACUGAAGAGACUGGGUCCCCAUUGCAGCUCCAUCUUCCAAUCGCCUUGGGACUGUGCUCCGCCCUCUAACUCAUAAACAGUGUGUGCCAGUCCCAGUCCCAAACACUUUGCCUGUGACUCAGUUAGUCUGCCUUAAUUUCUGCAGUAGUUUUACGAUGGAGAACGCUGUCAGAAAGAGGUUAGGCUCUUGCCCAAGUUACCCAUGCACUUAACAAGUUAUCCUGGGAUACUAGUGUCUUCCUGUCAUAGUUUCUGCUGCUGCUAUAAAAUGCCAUGACAAACCCUGGACUCUGACCUCAUAGGUAGCAAUGAAUAUCCUAGUAAGAGCACCAGUGGAAGGGGAAGCCCUUGGUCCUGCCAAGACUGAACCCCCAGUGAACGUGAUUGUUGGGGGGAGGGCGGUAAUGGGGGGAGGAUGGGGAGGGGAACAUCCAUAUAGAAGGGGAGGGGUUUGGGUUAGGGGGAUGUUGGCCCUGAAACCAGGAAGGGAAUAACAAUCGAAAUGUAAAUAAGAAAUACUCAGGAAAGUUCUGGUCACAGUUCUAGGCUAUAACCAAUUGUUGCAGGGAAGUCAGGGUAGCAGGAACUUGAAGCAACUUGUCACAUUAUUAAUGCCUGUGUAUACCAAGCUCAGUUUCUCCACUCUUAUGCCCUUCUGGAUUCCUUGCCUAGGGAAUGGCGCCAUCCACAUUGCAUGGGUCUUCCCAUUUAAAUUAAUGGAAUUAAGAUAAUUCCCUAAAGACACUCACAUAGGCCAGCCUGAUCUAGAUGGCCCUUCACUUGUGGAUACAAAAAUUCUCUUCAGGCUGGAAUGUGCAGUAAGUGUGUGUUGUGUGCAUAAGUGGCAGUGAUGAAGACAAGAGGACGGCAGUGAAAUGUGGGUGUUAGAGAGACCCAGAUUUGUUUACUGUCGGGGGAACACUGUGAGUCAUGUUGUGUCUCUAAGCUACAAUCUAUCCUGCCUUUUGUUUUCUUCCUUCUUUCUUGCCUCCCUUGAGAUACCACUCACAUAUUAUAACAUUUAUCCACUUAUAAUGUGGUUAAUUGGGUUUUAGAAUGUUCCCAUGAUAAUUUAAUUCUAAAGCAUUUCCACUAUUCCUCCUACCCAAGAAAUACCUAAAAAAAAGUUUUAAAGCAACCAUUCUCUAUUCCUAUCCCCAGACUGCCACCAACCCAUGUUAAGUUUUAUGUUUUCAGCGGAAACUGCUGUGGGGGUGGGUUGGAGUACGUGUGUGUGUGUGUGUGUGUGUGUGUGUGUGUGUG